rnacentral:misc_RNA from 1 species
GGAUAUAUUGGAUAAGUGCCUGAGAGCGGAGCGCGAAAAGCGGCGCUGGUAGGGACACCGAACCUUGAAAAUCAUAUAGUUUGAAAGCCAGUAUAUAACAUAUACCCUGCGUCAGUAAAGAGAAUUACCAGACUGAGGUAUAAAUCAGUCGAAUAAGAGCUAAACGAACUUUAUCUAC